rnacentral:misc_RNA from 1 species
AGUCAUCAACCCCUCCCGUUUUUGCGGGCGUCGGUUGGAUCUGGGGCGUGCUGCCGCGAGGCUGCUCCCCUCAAAUGCGUCGGUUGGGCCUGUGGGUCGGACUCGAUUGGGCGUUGUACCAUCCUCGCUCUCACGAGAAGUUCCCCUUCCGUGCCUUUCCAAGACUUGCCUGUGGAGUGGCGGUCAACCAACUUUGAA